AAACCGACACCCAUAUGGAAUCCCAGCGUGUGCAAGGCAAAGACUUUAGCCACUAGACUACCAUGCCAGGCCCUUUGCUUAAGUUUAGUAAUGGAAAAUUAUUUAUGGUAAACCUACUGGACGGUUAUUAAGAAAAAGGGUCAGGAUUCAAACUGAGGAACAUGCAUCAGCUGUUCAGAAAGUGCUCAACUGUGUGUUUUUUUCCUUUCUCAUUCUGUUUCCCUUGAAUUUGACUACACAGCUUAUGCUUCCUGGGACCUUUGCAGGCUCUGGUCCUUCCACUCCCGUGUCCUCUGUGUUUUCUUCACCUCCAUGCACCUCUUAGCUCUGCCAGUUCUUUCUUGCCCUUUGGGUCUCAGCAGACAGAGCUUUCCUGACCACUUGAUGUACAUAAUCUCCAGUUCCACCCUCAACAUUCAUAGUUGCCUCUUCCCAGUAGCUGCUGAAUAAAUAAAAUUACCCAUGGCCAUUUCUCACCGUAUUGAGCCCUGUUAGCUGACAUGCUAUAGUAUUUCCUGUCCUUUCUUCACUAGGCAAGGCUCCUGUCACUCAGAGUCCUAGACCCUGCUAUUUCUCUUGUUAGCACAGCUCCAAGGGUCGCUUAGGUCACUGAGGAUCUAGGAAUGAAUGAAGCCCUGAUACAGCCCUGUUUCUCAAAUGUGAUACCUACAUCUCGUUCAUCUUUCUCUCUCCGUGGCUGAUGCUCAGCCCAGUGCCUGGCAUAGAGUAGAGUCAAUACAGUUAAUUGGAUCCAAAUGCAUUGAGUUGGGGGGAAAGCUACAACACAGUCUCUCCUGACAACAACAUUGGAUGAAGCUCAGGCUCUGAAUGCUCUCUUAAAGGUGGCAGGGAUGGCGCCUUCUGGAAUCCCUUCUGUGAUAAUUUUGUCAGAAUGCCCAGUAGCUUUCAUUUGUUCACUCAUUCAUUCAUUUCCAAGCCCCACCUGGAAGAGUAUAGGGCUUUGGGCAUGGGAAACUAUACCAUUUUUAGCUUUGCUUUUAAAAAGUUUACCUUGAGGAAAACUUGGGUUUUGGUCUCUCGUUUAUCCUACCUCCGUAGGUGGCAAAAUAGUUGGAAUCUAAUGUAGUUGCUUGGGUCUUUCUUCUGUGUUGGCCUCCACACCAAAGCCUUUGAACAAGAGUAGAAAGGUCACCAACUGUGGUUGCAAAUUGGCUCUUAUGCUAAUCCUAGCUUAUUCAAAAAUCGCCCAAUAUUUUUCCAAACUGAGUUUAGGGCUUUUGAUUGAAGCCUGAAUCAUUCACCAUGGCAGAGUCUAUCAGUAGUACAGGAAAAGCUAAAACUAAAAUACAAAGCCCCUUUAAGUAAUCCAAUAUAGGAUAAUUACAUUAUUAAAUAAAUCUGUGGGCCUCAAAUUAUUCCAUUGUGCAUGUGAGGAUAAUAAUGUGAGCUGUGCUAAGUGAACAGAGUGAAAAAAAAUGUUUAACAAGAGGGAGCAUGUCUAAAUCAUAUGUUUAUGUUUAAACAGACUACACAAAACAGGAAGAUUUAUUUGGUUUCUACAUUAAAGUGCUCUAAAUAGGCAUAAGGCUUUCGUUGGAUUUCUCUGAAAACUGUUUUUCUAAUUAAUGGCAAGGGUAUAUCAAGACACAGUGCCAGCUGACCACUAAGCUGUAAUAAUUCAGGCGGCUUCCACUGUGACUUGCCUGUCCCAACAGGGGCAACCGGUUUCUGCCUCCUUUGAGGGUCUUUAUGGAAUGUAGGUCUUGUUGAACUGCCUGCCUGGUCAUAGGGAUACAUGCAUACAAGUUAGGUGAAAAAGUAAAAGACGAGGAUGGAAAGUAAUGGUUUGGAGUCAUUUAGCAUAAUAGAACUGCUCAGUUUUCUUUUCACUGUGAUUUGAUAGACCGUUCCUUAAAUCCUAUUAAAAUUUAUUUCAUUUGAGAGGCAGAGAGGGAUCAACAGACAGAUAAUCUGACUGAACAUGAGACUUCUCUGCUGGGUCAUUCCCCAAAAGCUCACAAUAAUUGCGACUGGGUCAGGCUAUAGCUUAUACAUGGGAACUCCAUCCAUGAUCCCUUAUGGGUAGCAGUGAAUUAACUACUGGAACCAUCAUCUGUUGCCUCUCAGGGUGCAUAUUAGAAGGAACUGGAGCCCAGAGUAGGUCUUAGACUCCAACCCAGACACUUGGAAAUGGAAUGUGUAACUACUAGCCACUAGGUCAAAUUCCCUUCCUAACAGAGUGCUCCCAUUAGGUAAUUCAAACGAGCUUUAACACUGAACAUGGGCUCGUUUCUCUCUUGUUAUUGCUUUCAUUACCACAGCUAAGUUUUUAGUUGCCAAGCUAGUUUUUCAUUGUGGGAACCAGACAGUACUUUACAUAUAUAAAAAAUAGACAGCAGUGUUACUAAUUUGGUCAAAGAAAGGGUGGACCAGCUUGGUUAUUGACUUAUGACAUCUUCCUUAGUAUCGAAUGCCUGUAUGUUGAGAGGUGAAACUUCUAGGCUUUUGGAAUGCCUUUGCCCUCUGUAAAUUUCCAUUAUAGGGAGAAAGGAAGGUGCUUACAUACUAGGUCCAAGAAGGAAGAAGGAGAACUGGGCUGUCUCUGGGGAUUUCUUUAAAGAUGGUAUCUGGUCAGGGGAGCAGGCUGUAGCUUAACAGCUUUUAGAUGAAUGCGUAUUAAAAAUGUAUUUAGGAACAUAAAAUAUUUAGGAUUUUUGAAUUACUUGUUUGAUGCGCAAAUGCCGUUGGCUGUACCAUGAAGGAUGGUCACAUUAUGCUUGACAAAUUAUGCCUAAGAGCAGCCCAUUUGCUUACUUACUCCUAAUUGUGCCAAGAUGGAUUUCCAAAAUCUGUUGAACCACAAGCUUCACCAGCAGAGUGUUUGGGGAGGGGAGACAAAAAACUGUUGGAUAGGAGAUGGUUAGCUUGGAAGUUUGGAACCCAAUACACUAACAAGGAUCCAUGGCAAAUCCAUUUCAUCAUUUUAAGGGAAUCAAAUUUAAUUUUAGCACAUACUUGAGGGGCUAUCUUCAUUACUUGGACAACAUACAACUUUUCAUAUUUUUAAGCUAUUGGGUGUCUGUAGGAGCAAAAGCACAAGAAAAAAUUAUAGCUAAAAUCCUUUUUGUUAUGAAAUUCUUCUGAAUCUCAUUCACCCUUGAGAGUUGAUGGCAAGAUUUAACUGGCCCAAUGUAGGAAUAGUUUGGUGUGUGACUACCAAAAAUGUUCACAAGAGCACUUCCGUGGAAAGAAGUUCUGCUACCCAGCUGGUUCCUGAUUCCACUUCAGGUUUCUCAUCUCUAAGCUGGACCUAGAGGCACCACUCUCAGAGAACCUUGGAGGAAUGAUGUGAGAUCAUGUCAAAGGGUCUCACAUUAAAGGCAUGGGCUAUUAUUUUGGUCAAGUAAAGCAUCUCAAAGUUUUCUACUGCUGUCUCCCUUGCGGUCCAGGAAAUGAGAAGCCCAUGUUCUAAGCUGUCUUUUGAUGCAAAUUCUACUUGGGGGUAGCUAGCAGAAACUACAGAGCCUUUGUUUUUUUUUUUUUAACCCAUCCAAAGAAUCAAGAGUUAGGAACACACUGUUACUUCUGGGGCAUAAUUGACUCAUUUUCCAAUCAAGUGUUGCUAUAUAAGAAGGUAAUAACCAUCAUUUCUUGGAUGCCUACUCUGUAUUAAGCAUUGUGUUAUAAUAACUUCAACAAGGGUCAUGUGCCUACAAAAUUGGGUGAAAAGGAAAAAGAUUAGAAUGACACUGGCAUCAUUCAACAUAACAGAACAACUGAAUUGGGUGUUGGUUGAGUUUUCUUGUUUCUAAUUUUGCUUUGAUUAAGGUUUGACACAUGUUUUUAGAGGUAAUUCAGUAUCCUACCUAUCCUAUGAGGUAGGUUUAUCUGUACUAUUAUCCCUUGUCCCAUGGACAAUAUUAACAGUAGAGCUGCGUUUGAACCUGGGCAAGUCAGACACAAGAACUGGUGCUCUCUCAGUUAUCCCUUCAUCUUUUCUAUCAUGGAACAUCCAGAGAUGUCUUACCAUUAA